CUGUUUUCCUGGCUCUGGUCCACUGUUCUCCUUUGACCAUGAAGUUUAUCCUUGCGACCAUCGCUUUGGCCGUGCUCCUGAGAGACACCUUUGGAGACAUCCAGCCUCAGAAAAACUUUGACAUUAAGAAGUUUGCAGGGAAGUGGUACCGUGUGGGUCUGGCUGAUGACUCCUCAAGCUUUGCACUGUUCAGAAACAGGCUCACAAUCAAUAUGGGAAUAGUGGAACCUAAAGACAAUGGUGAUGUCAAUAUGACUAUGUGGAAAAUGAUCAGAUCCACAGGCUGCAAGAGCAGAAUGUUCACAUACAUGAAGAAUGCCGUGCCUGGAGUGUUCACGUACUUUAGCACACGUCACAAUAUAAUGAAGGAUGUCACAAUAGUGGAGACUAACUACACCGAGUAUGCUUUGCUUUUCAAGUACAAGAAGUUCAACAGGGAGUAUACUCAAGUGUCUCUGUAUGGACGUACCCAGACAUUGAGAUCUGAGCUGAUUGAGAAGUUCAAAAAGUAUGCCAUGCAGCAGGGUUUCCCUGAGCGGUCCAUUCUGACCCCAUCACCACCUGCAGACAACUGCCCUCCUUCAGGACAGUAGAAUUUGAGGGACAGCCAUGAGGAACAGAGAUCCACCUAUGCACUAAAACUGUUCAUCUUUAGUGUAUAAGAGUCUGUCUCUUUGGGGCAUUAUGAUGGCGCAGUGCAUCAUGAGCCAGCAAAUAUCUACACUUUCUUCACUGAAUAAGCUGAACAACCUGGAAGAACUUCACAGUAUGAAACUUUACUGACAGCCUGCAUUGUUGUCUUAGAUGUAACUCAGUUGCUAAAUUGUCAAAUUACUCUGUAGUAACUUUUGCUAAUGGAACUGUAUAAAAAUACAGUUUGAUUUCUCCUCUGA